rnacentral:lncRNA from 1 species
AGUAAUUAAACGUAAUAUAAUCUUAAACUAAACGCAACUAAACGUAGUUCUGUUUUUAGAAGUUGCCAUUUGUAAAAUAUCACGAGGCUCGAAAUGAUAAAUAAUUAUUUAAACAUAGAAAUAACAGUAAAUAUAAUUAACCAAUUACAUAUUAUACCUUAAAAUGAAUAAUUAUUGCAUAAUAUCUUAAUAAUUAACAAUUUAUUUAAAUAAAUUAUUUUCACCAUCAAUGUUUUUAUUUUGUAUUGGCAAUUAUUUUAUUGACAGGUAACAGAUAUCUUUCAGAGUCUAGUCUCUGUCUGUCAGUGUCUGUUCAGUUCUUUGCUGUUGUUUUGGAUUGUGGUUUGUUACUGCAUCUGAGCAAUUUAAGCAAAUUAUCUGGUCAUUUUUACGUUGAGUCGAGGAACUGCUCCUCCGUACUCUAUCUGUUGAUAGUACUUUCGCGAAAGGACGCUUUAUUACUUUUGUUGUGUGUGUGUACGUGCGUUCGCUUGUCGCGAAUACGAAGGCACGCUUUAUCCGAUGAGAGUGAAGAUAUCGUCAAUACUAUUCGGCUGUGGACAUAUCCUAGAGAUAUAACACCUGCUGACCAUGUUUGCCGCACGGAACAAAUAUUUGAAUGAUCUGCAAGUAGUUGUUCUGGGUCUGGGUAUUUCUGCACAUGAGUUUCUAUGUUGAUGAAAUAAUACUAAGAAUAGAUUAAAUAAUUAUAAGAACAAUAAAAUAGAUGUAUAUUCCUACAAAAACAAA